GUCCACGCCGUAAACGAUGAUAACUAGCUGUCCGGGCACUUGGUGCUUGGGUGGCGCAGCUAACGCAUUAAGUUAUCCGCCUGGGGAGUACGGCCGCAAGGUUAAAACUCAAAGAAAUUGACGGGGGCCUGCACAAGCGGUGGAGCAUGUGGUUUAAUUCGAAGCAACGCGCAGAACCUUACCAACGUUUGACAUCCCCAGUAUGGUUUCCAGAGAUGGGAUCCUUCAGUUCGGCUGGCUGGGUGACAGGUGCUGCAUGGCUGUCGU
rnacentral:rRNA from 1 species